CCUUUUACGGCCACCUGUCCUUCCAGGGGGUCUUUCUUGGAGCACCGUCACCUGGAGUCACCUGUAGAUUGAGGUGUGCAUGGCAACCCCCCCGGCUCGCUGCGGGUGCUGGAAAAGGGAGGCGGGCCAAGGCCUCCGGCCCAGAAAGUUGAGCAAGACCUGGCAACCUUCCCACAGAGGUGAUCAAUAAGUGCUUGUGGAAAGAACAAAUGAAUGGAUGGAUGGAGGAGGAGUCAGAAGGAGCACUCAGGAUGCCUUCCAGCUUUUCCAUGUGGGAGCAAGAAGUGAUGGUGAUCCUGGAGGAAGAGUCAACAUUCGCUCUUUUGAGUUUAUUUAGAAGACAGAGCUGCAUCAAGUUUGUUACAGCACAAGUUUGGAAACUAAAAAAGUGACUGAGAGGAUGGAUAAGAAAGUAUUUGGAUGACUCUUAAUAUACUGGAUCCUCUAUUUCUUGACAUACUCAUCAUCAACUCAACUGGUGCUUCCAGAGGCGGACAUGUGUUUCUCUAUCGAACUCCUUCCUCCACCAUGUGCAGCAAUCAUUUAAUUUCAAAGCUCUCCCCACUCUCACCACACCUCUUACCUCCUCUUCCUACCUGGCUAUCAGCAGUUGAUCUGCCUCCUGAAAUCAGUCGGAAUGAAGUCAACGAGUUGGAUUGGAAACUUCAUUGAAUGAAGGAGAGUUUCCAGGAGGUUACGACAAAGAUGGAGAAAGAUGUCUUACGAAAAGAACACUCAACAGAGCUGCAAAAUGAUGAACGUGGCAUUUGGACUGGACUCUGCAGGACUGGGGAAACAGAGAAGUUGGCUGAACUGAGGGGUUCUGGCAGAUGAGCCAUUCCAGCUCCUCCUUCUGUAGAUGAGCCCCCGAAGCCCAGAGAGGAAGAGUGAUUUGCUGAAGGUCACCCAUCAUGUCCAGCGCACUUCAUACUAAGCAGAACAACCUCCCUUCUCUCCCUCCUUUGGCCACGAUGGGAGGGAGACUUGGCAUUGCCUCAGACCCUCCCCCAAAGAUUCUGCUUCUUUUUGCUGCUGGAAUCAGAAGGAUGAGCCAGUGAUGUUUGACAGUGAGCAUGGAUUGCUAUUUUUAAUUGAAAUGAGCAAUACAUAAGAAGAAGGAAAGACCUCCAGAGUGUAACUGCCAAAAUAAGGAUCACUCUACUGGGAUGCUGUGUCCAUAUUCCACUCACUCAGCUCAGAGUGUUUGGAUUCUCCUGGGAAUGGCCUUCAGUGGCAGUUAACAGCAUGAGAAAUUUGCUCUUAUUCUUGUUUUUAUCCUUUAAAAUUACCUUUACAAAAAUGUUAAUAGGAAGCAGCAUUGCCCACGUUGGUCCUUGCCUGAUGGACCAUCCCUGACUCUGAAUAUGCUUUUACUCCUUUAAAAAAUCAUGGAGUUCCCAUUGUGGUGCAGCGGAAACGAAUCUGACUAGGCACCAUGAAGUUGCGGGUUUGAU